rnacentral:snoRNA from 1 species
AAAGACUUACUGUCAUAGGAUCAUUUCUAUAGUAACGCGCUUACCGAGAANUUCACGACAUACUGUGAAUGAUCGACAACCACGAUGAUGAGGCGUGGCGCGGCAUCCUGAGCGUGAGGCAGGGCAAUGGUUAGCCUAACCCAUNAGCCAUCAAUGCAUCGGUUGCGCGUUCCUUUUCAACAGGGGCACCAGUGGGACUGCUGGUCGAAACUCAUGAGGUUGGUU